AAAUCAUGUUGGGAGGGCAUCUCCUGAUCAAUUGUUUGUAUCUUUCUCAAGCUUCAUAGAGGGAUUCACCCUCUCUCUGUCUAAAGGUUUAUACUUCCACCCUGAGCUU